CUUGCGGCCUCGCCAGUCAUGGAGAUGAAGGCCGUGUGCGUCCUGAAGGGCCAGGGCCCGGUGGAAGGCACCAUCCACUUCGUGCAGAAGGGAAGUGGGUCUGUUGUGGUGUCAGGAACCAUUACAGGAUUGACUGAAGGUGAACGUGGAUUCCACAUCCAUCAGUUUGGAGAUAAUACCCAAGGCUGUACCAGGGCAGGUCCUCACUUUAAUCCUCUAUCCAAAAAACACAGUGGACCAAAAGAUCAAAAGAGGCAUGUUGGAGACCUGGGCAAUGUGACUGCUGGCAAGGAUGGUGUGGCCACCGUGUCCUUGGAAGAUUCUCUGAUCACACUCUUAGGAGACCAUUCCAUCAUUGGCUGCACAGUGGUGGUCCACGAGAAAUGAGAUGACUUGGGCUAAGGUGGCAACGAAGAAAGUACACAGAUGGGAAACGCCGGGAGUCAUUUUGUUUGUGGUGUCAUUGGGAUCGCCAAGUAAACAUUCCCUAGGAUGUGAUCUGAGUCCUAGUAGCUCCUAUGUUAUCUUGCUAGUUGUAGAAAUUUAACUUGAUGAACAUUAAACACUGUAACCUUA